rnacentral:lncRNA from 1 species
GUUAGAUGAGAAGUAAAGUAUUUUAAGCAAUAUCUUUUGCUUAAUGGGUACGUUGCUAUAACAUUUAAUAGAAAACUGAAAAACUAUAUUCUUAUCACACUUCUAGAAAACAACUUUGGAGCCCAUAGAUUUUUCCAACACUGGUGAUGCUGUACCCGCAGUCUGUGCUUAUUUUAACAUUGCAAGCAAGAAUCAUGGAUUUGAUGGUAGCAUCUGUGAGAACUAUCUAUAGAUUCCAGGAUGGCUGGAAAACUUUCCCCCUCCAGUUCUCUCUAGUUGAUUCUGCAAACCCACCCCAACGUUCCUCAGGGCUGCAGUACUUGAAGAGGUACCAUUCAAAAUAGUGUUCUAUGUAAAUGUCAGGAGGCAACUGCCCUAGGAAUUCCAUUCAUGUACAAUAAAUGUGAAUAACGCUCCCUGAAUUUGUGUAAC